rnacentral:rRNA from 1 species
AUUGAACGCUGGCGGCAGGCCUAACACAUGCAAGUCGAGCGGAUGAAGGGAGCUUGCUCCUGGAUUCAGCGGCGGACGGGUGAGUAAUGCCUAGGAAUCUGCCUGGUAGUGGGGGAUAACGUCCGGAAACGGGCGCUAAUACCGCAUACGUCCUGAGGGAGAAAGUGGGGGAUCUUCGGACCUCACGCUAUCAGAAGAGCCUAGGUCGGAUUAGCUAGUUGGUGGGGUAAAGGCCUACCAAGGCGACGAUCCGUAACUGGUCUGAGAGGAUGAUCAGUCACACUGGAACUGAGACACGGUCCAGACUCCUACGGGAGGCAGCAGUGGGGAAUAUUGGACAAUGGGCGAAAGCCUGAUCCAGCCAUGCCGCGUGUGUGAAGAAGGUCUUCGGAUUGUAAAGCACUUUAAGUUGGGAGGAAGGGCAGUAAGUUAAUACCUUACUGUUUUGACGUUACCAACAGAAUAAGCACCGGCUAACUUCGUG